CAGCCGCCGCGGGAAUACGAAGGGGGCAAGCGUUGUUCGGAAUUAUUGGGCGUAAAGGGUGCGUAGGCGGUUUCUUAAGUCUGAUGUGAAAGCCCCCGGCUCAACCGGGGAGGGUCAUUGGAAACUGGGAAACUUGAGUGCAGAAGAGGAGAGUGGAAUUCCACGUGUAGCGGUGAAAUGCGUAGAGAUGUGGAGGAACACCAGUGGCGAAGGCGACUCUCUGGUCUGUAACUGACGCUGAGGAGCGAGAGCGUGGGGAGCGAACAGGAUUAGAUACCCCUGUAGUCCCUGUCUCUUAUAC
rnacentral:rRNA from 1 species